rnacentral:misc_RNA from 1 species
GAUGAAGAACGUAGCGAAAUGCGAUAAGUAAUGUGAAUUGCAGAAUUCAGUGAAUCAUCGAAUCUUUGAACGCACAUUGCGCCCCUUGGUAUUCCGAGGGGCAUGCCUAUUCGAGCGUCAUUAUCACCCCUCAAGCCUAGCUUGGUGUUGAGGCCUGCUGUCAAGGCAGCCUCUAAAAUCAGUGGCAGUGCUGUCAGGCUCUAAGCGUAGUAAAUCUAAUCGCUAUAGACACCUGGUGGACACUCGCCAGAACCCCCCCAUUUUUUAAUGAUUGACCUCGGAUUAGGUAGGGAUACCCGCUGAACUUAAGCAUAUCAUAAGCGGAGGA